rnacentral:rRNA from 1 species
UGCCAGCCGCCGCGGUAAUACGAAGGGGGCUAGCGUUGUUCGGAAUUACUGGGCGUAAAGCGUACGUAGGCGGACUAUUAAGUCGAGGGUGAAAUCCCAGGGCUCAACCCUGGAACUGCCUUCGAUACUGUUAGUCUUGAGGUCGAGAGAGGUGAGUGGAAUUCCGAGUGUAGAGGUGAAAUUCGUAGAUAUUCGGAGGAACACCAGUGGCGAAGGCGGCUCACUGGACUGAUACUGACGCUGAGGUGCGAAAGUGUGGGGAGCAAACAGGAUUAGAUA